rnacentral:rRNA from 1 species
CCCUAUGGGGUGCAGCAGUAUAUGUAUGAGACGGCGCUGGAAGAUCUGAGAGGUAACGGCUACAUGUAUAAGCUGAACGGAAAAAUAUCCACCGGUUAUGCUGCGGAUAAGUAUUAUAUCGGGUUCGCCGCGAAUUAUGAUUAUGCAUACCUGAAAAUGAAGGAGGCCGCUGUUUCUUUUACCAUUUUUUACGGGGAAGUGUACGGGGGAAUACGGUUUUAAACAGCUGCGUACCAUACUCCAUCAUGACGACAUGAUGGAGUUAUACUUUAUUCUGUCUUUUACCAUGCUCAGAAGUUUUAUGCCGCCCCUCUUUUUCAUCGCGGCAAAACUGAUCCCCCUGCGGAUAUUUUCAAAGACAAGGGCCGUAUCCGUCACAUAAGAGCCGGACACGAUGUCAAUACCGUGAUCGAACAAUACGUUUGAAAUUGGCGGGAGGGC